GUGCUCACUCAGGCUUCGGCAGCACAUAUGCUAACACUGGAAAGACACAGAAAAGAUUAGCGUGGUCCCUGAGCAAGGAUGACCCGCAAAUUCAUGAAGCGUUCCAUAUUUUU
rnacentral:snRNA from 1 species